rnacentral:lncRNA from 1 species
AGUAGUAAAGGGUGUAAUUUGGUCCAAAUUGACAUAUGAAAAUAACUGUUUUUCAACCUUCAUCAACACCCCAAACUUAGAAUUUUGCUUGUCCUCAAGCAAAACAAAACAAAACACACAAAAUAAAAACUUGGCUUUAUACUGUUUCAUCCAAUGCCUCAAUAAUCCCAAGGUACAUGACAAAACUACUUAAUUCAAUAUCCUUAGUGACAUCCAAAAUAAGAUGCAUGCAUGCUUUCAAUCCAGAGAUUGCACAAUAGAUGUUAUACACUAUGAAUGGUCAAUCCACUAAGCAAAAAUGUACUCAUGAAAAUUAACAAAUCAUACCAAGCAAGUGUUUCACUCAAUCACUCAAGUGUCUAAGGUUACACUCCACUCUNUAUUGUUCACAAGUCACAUGAAACAAAAUUGCCAUUCAUCUCAAACAAUCAACAUCUUUACAUGAAAAUGCCAUCAAAAGGACUUUUCCAUUGCUUGUAAUGAGGUUGGGCUCACAAGAAAGAAUUGGUUUUUCUAGAAUGCAAAAUCCUUGAGUCAAGAGAGCUAUCAAAAUAUUCAACAUUUAAGCACAACUCUCUCACCAAUGUCUCUCAUUCCCAACUUUUCCCUCUUCUUUUUCUUUUGCAUUGANCNCUUCUUCAUGCUUUUCUUCUUUUCUUUUUCUUUUUCUCAUGAAUUUUUCUUCUCACAAUAUUUGAGCUCAAUGCUUUUCACUUGCUUUUUCAAUUUUCCCCCGUACAACCCCAAACUUGAACCUUUUCAUCACAUACAAUUAGGCUCAUCC